UGCGGAGGGGGCCAGCGUUGUUCGGAAUUAUUGGGCGUAAAGGGCGCGUAGGCGGUCGAGUAAGUCUGACGUGAAAUCCCUUGGCUCAACCAAGGAACUGCGUCUUAAACUGCUCGGCUUGAGUCCGGGAGAGGGUAGUGGAAUUCCCAGUGUAGCGGUGAAAUGCGUAGAUAUUGGGAGGAACACCGGUGGCGAAGGCGGCCCUCUGGACCGGUACUGACGCUGAUGCGCGAAAGCGUGGGGAGCAAACGGG
rnacentral:rRNA from 1 species